rnacentral:rRNA from 1 species
GAUGAACGCUAGCGGCAGGCUUAACACAUGCAAGUCGAGGGGCAGCGCGGGUAGCAAUACCUGGCGGCGACCGGCGAACGGGUGAGUAACGCGUGAGCAACGUGCCCGUAUGUGGGGGAUAGUCGAUGGAAACGUCGCGUAAUACCCCGUAACACAUUUCCCCGCAUGAGGAGAUGUUGAAAGAUUUAUUGCAUACGGAUCGGCUCGCGUGCCAUUAGGUAGACGGCGGGGUAACGGCCCACCGUGCCGACGAUGGCUAGGGGUUCUGAGAGGAAGGUCCCCCACAUUGGAACUGAGACACGGUCCAGACUCCUACGGGAGGCAGCAGUGAGGAAUAUUGGACAAUGGCCGGAAGGCUGAUCCAGCCAUGCCGCGUGCGGGAGGACGGCCCUAUGGGUUGUAAACCGCUUUUGCGAGGGAGCAAUAAGGUCCACGUGUGGGCCGAUGAGAGUACCUCGCGAAUAAGCAUCGGCUAACUCCGUGCCAGCAGCCGCGGUAAUACGGAGGAUGCAAGCGUUAUCCGGAUUUAUUGGGUUUAAAGGGUGCGUAGGCGGUUUGCUAAGCGGGAGGUGAAAUGCCGGCGCUCAACGUCGGAAGUGCCUCCCGAACUGGUGGACUGGAAUGACUCUGCCGUGGGAGGAAUGUGUAGUGUAGCGGUGAAAUGCUUAGAGAUUACACAGAACACCGAUUGCGAAGGCAUCUCACGAAGGGUUGAUUGACGCUGAGGCACGAAAGCGUGGGGAUCAAACAA